UACGAGGGGUCCUAGCGUUGUUCGGAAUCAUUGGGCGUAAAGAGUAUGUAGGCGGCCAUAUAAGUCAGGUGUGAAAUCCCCGGGCUCAACCCGGGAAGUGCAUUUGAUACUGUUUGGCUUGAGUAUGGAAGAGGGUAGUGGAAUUCCUGGUGUAGUGGUGAAAUACGUAGAUAUCAGGAGGAACACCGGUGGCGAAGGCGGCUACCUGGUCCUAUACUGACGCUGAGAUACGAAAGCAUGGGGAGCAAACAGG
rnacentral:rRNA from 1 species